GAUCCUAUCUCAUAUAUAUAUAUAUGGGAUGUAUCAAAUGAGAGAACUUCUUAUAAUGAGAGGGUGAGAGCAUUACUUAUUGACCAUUGGAUUGAAAUAAACGGUUCAGAUUUUAUUGCUCCUUAGAAAGGGUCAUGCACUACAUCCUCCACCUUUCAUCUUCUCCACUUUGACGCGUUCUCUUUCUCUCACAAGUAAUUUCUACUCUCUGUGUUUCUUUUUUUUUUUUUCUCUCUUUCUCAUGGUUUUAAUUUCAUCAGUUGGUCUCAACAAAAACUUCACUAUCACCAUCAUCGUAAUCAAAGACCCAUUUUUUUGGUUUUUUAGGUUAAGGGAAAAUUAAACAGACAUCCAUCUGCAAAUCUAUACUCGAGUCACAAGAAGUUGUUGGGUUUUCAGCAACCGAAUUCGUUUGAUUGGCAAAACAAUUUCGUUUUCUUUUUCAUAUUCAUUUCUUUUUCAGCAAUCGAAGGGUUUGAGAUAAAAAUUCAUGGCUAUGCCCUUUGUGUUAGCUUUAGGCUGAUUUGGAUUAAAAAAGGUUUUUUAAUAAAUAGACAUAUAGAUUGAGAUUAAUUAAUC
rnacentral:lncRNA from 1 species